GGAAAGGUGGCCGAGUGGUCUAAGGCGGCGGUCUUGAAAACCGCUGUAGGGCUCCGCCCUACCGUGAGUUCGAAUCUCACCCUUUCCG
rnacentral:tRNA from 1 species